UACGUAGGCCGCAAGCGUUGUUCGGAGUUACUGGGCGUAAAGCGUGCGCAGGUGGUUUUGUAAGCCAGAUGUGAAAUCCCCGGGCUCAACCUGGGAAUGGCAUUUGGGACUGCAAGGCUCGAGUGCGGCAGAGGAGACUGGAAUUCCUGGUGUAGCAGUGAAAUGCGUAGAUAUCAGGAGGAAUACCGAUGGCGAAGGCAGGUCUCUGGGCUGACACUGACGCUCAUGCACGAAAGCGUGGGGAGCAAACAGG
rnacentral:rRNA from 1 species